rnacentral:lncRNA from 1 species
GUUUAGAAGAGAAGGUAUGAGCAUGGAUAUUGUCUCGAAGGCUAUGGAAUAACUGGAAUGCUGGCCAUCUCUGAAAUUGUGGUCCACCCGUACAAUGAAAUAUGGUGCAGCCCAUACAAGUAAAAUUGCAGGUAAAGAUUGAAUGCACGGAAUGUGUGUUGUUGCAUUUGAAGGGGGAGAGGAGAGAAAAGUGGUGUGUGUGUGGUUCUGUAUGUGUGUGUUUGUGUGUGGUUGUGCGGGGGAUAUGGGAGGGACUUGGUUGUGUGCGUGAUUAUGUGUGUGUAUGUGUGGUUGUGUAUAUGUUGUGUGUGUGGUUGUUUGUGUGGUAAUGUAUGUGC